CUGACGGAGAGUUUGAUCCUGGCUCAGGACGAACGCUGGCGGCGUGCUUAACACAUGCAAGUCGAGCGGGGGCCAUCCGGUGGCAACACUGGGGAAGCCCUAGCGGCGAACGGGUGAGUAACACGUGAGGAACCUGCCCUGAAGUCUGGGAUAACUCGGGGAAACCCGAGCUAAUACCGGAUACCUUCACCGGACCGCAUGAUUUGGUGAAGAAAGAUUCAUCGCUUUGGGAGGGCCUCGCGGCCUAUCAGCUUGUUGGUGAGGUAACGGCUCACCAAGGCAUCGACGGGUAGCUGGUCUGAGAG
rnacentral:rRNA from 1 species